CCUGCCCCCCGACACCAGCCCGGCUCUGGGUGUGGAGGACGUUCCCCAUUCCCACCCAUCUCUGCAGGUGUCCCCGCAGCACACGGUGACACGGGUGCCCAUCAUCCGCCACCGCGGCUCCAACACUCUCAACUUCCUCUUCCAUGACCCGGAGAGCCGCGGCACUGCCGAGAACAGCCAGGGAGCUCCCAAGAGCUCAGUGAAUGAGUGGUACCAGACCUGGCCGGCCAAGGAGGCGAAAGGCCCCAGCACCCCUGUGCCCACCCAG